AUAAGAGCAUGUGGUGGAUGCCUUGGCGAUGAUAGGCGACGAAGGACGUGAUAGCCUGCGAUAAGCUUCGGGGAGCUGGCAAAUAAGCUUUGAUCCGGAGAUUUCCGAAUGGGGAAACCCACCGAAAGGUAUCGUGCACUGAAUACAUAGGUGCACGAGGCGAACCGGGUGAACUGAAACAUCUCAGUAGCUCGAGGAAAAGACAUCAACCGAGAUUCCGAAAGUAGUGGCGAGCGAAAUCGGAAGAGCCUGCUAGUGAUAGCACAGAACUUAGCAAAGCGGUCUGGAAAGGCCGGCCAUAGUGGGUGAUAGCCCCGUAUGCGAAAAGAUCUGUGUGGUACUGAGCUAGCGAAAAGUAGGGCGGGACACGUGUAAUCCUGUCUGAAUAUGGGGGGACCAUCCUCCAAGGCUAAAUACUCAUCAUCGACCGAUAGUGAACUAGUACCGUGAGGGAAAGGCGAAAAGAACCCCGGGAGGGGAGUGAAAUAGAUCCUGAAACCGCAUGCUUACAAAAAGUAGGAGCCCGCAAGGGUGACUGCGUACCUUUUGUAUAAUGGGUCAGCGACUUACAUUCAGUGGCAAGGUUAACCGAAUAGGGAAGCCGUAGAGAAAUCGAGUCCGAAUAGGGCGUUCAGUCGCUGGGUGUAGACCCGAAACCAAGUGAUCUAUCCAUGGCCAGGAUGAAGGUGCCGUAACAGGUACUGGAGGUCCGAACCGACUAGUGUUGCAAAACUAGCGGAUGAGCUGUGGAUAGGGGUGAAAGGCUAAACAAACUUGGAAAUAGCUGGUUCUCUCCGAAAACUAUUUAGGUAGUGCCUCAAGUAUUACCUUCGGGGGUAGAGCACUGUUUUGGCUAGGGGGUCAUGGCGACUUACCAAACCAAGGCAAACUCCGAAUACCGAAGAGUACAGCUUGGGAGACAGAGCACCGGGUGCUAACGUCCGGACUCAAGAGGGAAACAACCCAGACCGCCAGCUAAGGUCCCUAAAAUUGGCUAAGUGGGAAACGAAGUGGGAAGGCUAAAACAGUCAGGAUGUUGGCUUAGAAGCAGCCAUCAUUUAAAGAAAGCGUAAUAGCUCACUGAUCGAGUCGUCCUGCGCGGAAGAUGUAACGGGGCUAAGCCAGUUACCGAAGCUGCGGAUGUGCAAUUUAUUGCACGUGGUAGGAGAGCGUUCUGUAAGCCUGUGAAGGUGGCUUGUAAAGGCUGCUGGAGGUAUCAGAAGUGCGAAUGCUGACAUGAGUAGCGUUAAAGCGGGUGAAAAGCCCGCUCGCCGUAAGCGCAAGGUUUUCUACGCAACGUUCAUCGGCGUAGAGUGAGUCGGCCCCUAAGGCGAGGCAGAGAUGCGUAGCUGAUGGGAAACAGGUCAAUAUUCCUGUACCGAUAUGCAGUGCGAUGUGGGGACGGAUCUUAAUAGCUCAUCCAGGUGUUGGAUUACCUGGUUUAGCUGGAUGUAGGCGUGCAGUAGGCAAAUCCGCUGCACAUAUACCGAGGCCAGCGAUCGAGCGAGCUUGCUCGCGAAGUGAGUGAACGAGGUUCCAGGAAAAGCCACUAAGCUUCAGCUGCAUACGACCGUACCGCAAACCGACACUGGUGCGCGAGAUGAGUAUUCUAAGGCGCUUGAGAGAACUCAGGAGAAGGAACUCGGCAAAUUGACACCGUAACUUCGGGAGAAGGUGUGCCCUAGUAAUGUGAAGUGAACAACGGAGCAUGAACGGGUUGCAAAAAAUCGGUGGCUGCGACUGUUUAUUAAAAACACAGCACUCUGCAAACACGAAAGUGGACGUAUAGGGUGUGACGCCUGCCCGGUGCUGGAAGAUUAAAUGAUGGGGUGCAAGCUCUUGAUUGAAGUCCCAGUAAACGGCGGCCGUAA
rnacentral:rRNA from 1 species